GGGGCUGUAGCUCAGUGGUAGAGCACAUGCCUCGCACAUGUGAGGUACUGGGUUUAAUCCUCAGCACCA
rnacentral:tRNA from 1 species